rnacentral:rRNA from 1 species
UUUAUUGGAGAGUUUGAUCCUGGCUCAGGACGAACGCUGGCGGCGUGCCUAAUACAUGCAAGUCGAGCGGACUGAUGGGAGCUUGCUCCCUGAUGUCAGCGGCGGACGGGUGAGUAACACGUGGGCAACCUGCCUGUAAGACUGGGAUAACUUCGGGAAACCGGAGCUAAUACCGGAUAAUUUCAGGAACCUCCUGGUUCCUGUAUAAAAGACGGUUUCGGCUGUCACUUACAGAUGGGCCCGCGGCGCAUUAGCUAGUUGGUGAGGUAACGGCUCACCAAGGCGACGAUGCGUA